GACGAACGCUGGCGGCGUGCUUAACACAUGCAAGUCGAACGGAAAGGCCCUGCUUUUGUGGGGUGCUCGAGUGGCGAACGGGUGAGUAACACGUGAGUAACCUGCCCUUGACUUUGGGAUAACUUCAGGAAACUGGGGCUAAUACCGGAUAGGAGCUCCUGCUGCAUGGUGGGGGUUGGAAAGUUUCGGCGGUUGGGGAUGGACUCGCGGCUUAUCAGCUUGUUGGUGGGGUAGUGGCUUACCAAGGCUUUGACGGGUAGCCGGCCUGAGAGGGUGACCGGCCACAUUGGGACGGAGAUACGGCCCAGACUCCUACGGGAGGCAGCAGGGGGGAAUAGUGCACAAUGGGCGGAAGCGUGAUGCAGCAACGCCGCGUGCGGGAUGACGGCCUUCGGGUUGUAAACCGCUUUCGCCUGUGACGAAGCGUGAGUGACGGUAAUGGGUAAAGAAGCACCGGCUAACUACGU
rnacentral:rRNA from 1 species